UGGGGAAUAUUGCACAAUGGAGGGAACUCUGAUGCAGCGACGCCGCGUGAACGAAGAAGGCUUUCGAGUCGUAAAGUUCUUUUAUAUGGGAAGAUAAUGACGGUACCAUAAGAAAAAGCCCCGGCUAACUACGUGCCAGCAGCCGCGGUAAUACGUAGGUGGCAAGCGUUGUCCGGAAUUAUUGGGCGUAAAGAGCGCGUAGGCGGUAUGGUAAGUCUGUCUUAGAAGUGCGGGGCUUAACCCCGUGAGGGGACAGAGACUGUCAUACUGGAGUCUCGGAGAGGAAAGCGGAAUUCCUAGUGUAGCGGUGAAAUGCGUAGAGAUUAGGAAGAACACCGGUGGCGAAGGCGGCUUUCUGGACGAGCACUGACGCUGAGGCGCGAAAGCGUGGGGAGCGAACAGG
rnacentral:rRNA from 1 species